rnacentral:lncRNA from 1 species
UUGAAUAAUCAGUCCUCUCACUAUCAACUCCCAUUUUUUUCCUUAGGGGCCAGAAAACUGCUGAGCAGAGAGUAGAAACACCAGGAAUCCUUCAAUGGCAGCUGUCAUCAUGUGUGGAUAUGUCUUGGGUCUGGUUGGUGCUCCAGCUUGCCAGUCCAUGCCUCCCAUGAGCUGAGGAGAUGAGGAGAAAGCUCUGGGUGGCUGAUGGAUGCAAACUGAAAGAAGAUUGGGCUCACCUUUAUCUGUUUCCAUGUUCACAGAAGAGGCCAAGGUUCUGCCUCAGGAAAAUGGUGUCCAUGAUGGCUUGUGCUGGAACACUCAGGACAUAAGCUGUCUCUGCUAAAA